rnacentral:rRNA from 1 species
GAUGAACGCUGGCGGCGAGCCUAAUACAUGCAAGUCGAGCGAAUGGAUUAAGAGCUUGCUCUUAUGAAGUUAGCGGCGGACGGGUGAGUAACACGUGGGUAACCUGCCCAUAAGACUGGGAUAACUCCGGGAAACCGGGGCUAAUACCGGAUAACAUUUUGAACCGCAUGGUUCGAAAUUGAAAGGCGGCUUCGGCUGUCACUUAUGGAUGGACCCGCGUCGCAUUAGCUAGUUGGUGAGGUAACGGCUCACCAAGGCAACGAUGCGUAGCCGACCUGAGAGGGUGAUCGGCCACACUGGGACUGAGACACGGCCCAGACUCCUGCGGGAGGCAGCAGUAGGGAAUCUUCCGCAAUGGACGAAAGUCUGACGGAGCAACGCCGCGUGAGUGAUGAAGGCUUUCGGGUCGUAAAACUCUGUUGUUAGGGAAGAACAAGUGCUAGCUGAAUAAGCUGGCACCUUGACGGUACCUAACCAGAAAGCCACGGCUAACUACGUGCCAGCAGCCGCGGUAA